rnacentral:rRNA from 1 species
GAUGAACGCUGGCGGCGUGCCUAAUACAUGCAAGUCGAGCGAACAGACGAGGAGCUUGCUCCUCUGACGUUAGCGGCGGACGGGUGAGUAACACGUGGAUAACCUACCUAUAAGACUGGGAUAACUUCGGGAAACCGGAGCUAAUACCGGAUAAUAUAUUGAACCGCAUGGUUCAAUAGUGAAAGACGGUUUUGCUGUCACUUAUAGAUGGAUCCGCGCCGCAUUAGCUAGUUGGUAAGGUAACGGCUUACCAAGGCAACGAUGCGUAGCCGACCUGAGAGGGUGAUCGGCCACACUGGAACUGAGCCACGGUCCAGACUCCUACGGGAGGCAGCAGUAGGGAAUCUUCCGCAAUGGGCGAAAGCCUGACGGAGCAACGCCGCGUGAGUGAUGAAGGUCUUCGGAUCGGAAAACUCUGUUAUUAGGGAAGAACAAAUGUGUAAGUAACUAUGCACGUCUUGACGGUACCUAAUCAGAAAGCCACGGCUAACUACG